CCUACGGGAGGCAGCAGUGGGGAAUUUUGCGCAAUGGGGGAAACCCUGACGCAGCAACGCCGCGUGGAGGAUGAAGUCCUUCGGGACGUAAACUCCUUUCGACCGGGACGAUAAUGACGGUACCGGAAGAAGAAGCCCCGGCUAACUUCGUGCCAGCAGCCGCGGUAAUACGUAGGCAGCAAGCGUUGUUCGGAGUUACUGGGCGUAAAGGGUGUGUAGGCGGUUGCUUAAGUUUGGUGUGAAAUCUCCCGGCUCAACUGGGAGGGUGCGCCGAAUACUGAGUGACUCGAGUGCGGGAGAGGAAAGUGGAAUUCCUGGUGUAGCGGUGAAAUGCGUAGAUAUCAGGAGGAACACCGGUGGUGUAGACGGCUUUCUGGACCGUAACUGACGCUGAGACACGAAAGCGUGGGUAGCAAACAGGAUUAGAUACCCUGGUAGUCCACGCCCUAAACGAUGCACAUUUGGUGUGAGUCAUUCAGUUGAUUCGUGCCGGAGCUAACGCGUUAAAUGUGCCGCCUGGGGAGUACAGUCACAAGGCUGAAACUCAAAGGAAUUGACGG
rnacentral:rRNA from 1 species